GAUGAACGCUGGCGGCGUGCCUAAUACAUGCAAGUCGAGCGAACGGACGAGAAGCUUGCUUCUCUGAUGUUAGCGGCGGACGGGUGAGUAACACGUGGAUAACCUACCUAUAAGACUGGGAUAACUUCGGGAAACCGUAGCUAAUACCGGAUAAUAUUUUGAACCGCAUGGUUCAAAAGUGAAAGACGGUCUUGCUGUCACUUAUAGAUGGAUCCGCGCUGCAUUAGCUAGUUGGUAAGGUAACGGCUUACCAAGGCAACGAUGCAUAGCCGACCUGAGAGGGUGAUCGGCCACACUGGAACUGAGACACGGUCCAGACUCCUACGGGAGGCAGCAGUAGGGAAUCUUCCGCAAUGGGCGAACGCCUGACGGAGCAACGCCGCGUGAGUGAUGAAGGUCUUCGGAUCGUAAAACUCUGUUAUUAGGGAAGAACAUAUGUGUAAGUAACUGUGCACAUCUUGACGGUACCUAAUCAGAAAGCCACGGCUAACUACGUG
rnacentral:rRNA from 1 species